rnacentral:ncRNA from 1 species
UGAUAGAGGUCGCGGCCGACAUGAGUAUGCGUGGCCAGGGAGCCGGUUCCCGUCCACCCACGCCCAAAGGGAAGGCCGCCGAAGGGUUUUCCUCUCGCACCGGAACGGAGGGCCCUGGUCGCCGGGUCAACAGCUCUGCGACUGUCAUCAGGGCGGUUCCCUGAUGGAGCGCUGUCUG